rnacentral:rRNA from 1 species
AUUGAACGCUGGCGGCAGGCCUAACACAUGCAAGUCGAACGAGUGGCGGACGGGUGAGUAAUGUCUGGGAAACUGCCUGAUGGAGGGGUAUAACUACUGGAAACGGUAGCUACUACCGCAUACCCUCAGAUGUGACCAGAUUGGAUUCGCUUGUUGGUGGGGUAAUGGCUCACCCAGGCGACGAUCCCUAGCUGGUCUGAGAGGCUGACCGGCAACACUGGAACUGAGACACGGCCCAGACUCCUACGUGAGGCAGCAGUAGGGAAUCUUGGGCAAGGGGCGAAAGUCUGACGGAGCCAGGCCGCGUGUGUGAAGAAGGUCUUCGGGUCGUAAAGCACUGUCAGUAGAGAAGCGUUACCUAAAGAAGAAGCCACGGCUAACUACGUGCCAGCAGCCGCGGUAAUAC